UUUUUCCGCGCUAUUUUCCGUCAACAGUUCUGAUUUAACAGUAAAUAAUAAAUUUUCCAUCUAUUUUUUUGUUAAUAAUAAUUGUGAAAGUUUUUAUGAGCAAAUUGAUAUACGCGCCAAAUUUGGCGGCCAUUUUGUCAUAACGCUAUAAGCUUGCAGAAAGUUUGCAAUGUUUGCAAGGUUUGCAACAAGAAAUUGUUCUAUCCAUAUAAAAAUACAAAGGCCAUUUAUACAUUGAAAUCCGAAAGGACAUUGUGAACAAUGUUUACCACUGAUGUAAACUGGUUGAUAUAAGAAAUUUCCACUUGGUCCAUAGUUGCAAACGAGGAUGUGAUUUUUUCCCAUAUUUUCGUAAAUAUUUAUCCAUUCGUCUCCAAUCCAUUUUUUCACACGGAUAUCACUCACCUUAUACUUGCACAUUGUAUGAUCACUGGAAAUUGAACAAUAAUCAACGGCCAUUAUCCAGAAUGGAAGGAA